AGUGGGGGUGAGACCUAUGACAAGAACCAUGCAGGACUGGGCCUUGAUAAUCCAAAGGUCUACUGUUGACAGCAUUUUGUGUCUCCUUACAGGAGAGAGGAGUACCUAUGCUGAGGUGAAAGUACAUUGGAAAUCUGACAGCACAUCAGAGGCUACCCGUUCAGGUCCCACCUCUCAGUGCUCAGGCUGGUUGUAUAUUAUUGCAGUCCUUGGGAUUAUUACACUGAUUCUGCUAGUUACUGUGAUCCUCUUAGCUCUGCGCUGUGUAAACGUGUGAUGAUAACUCAACUCAGCAAGUCUCUCUUCAAUGAAAGAUCAUCAAAUGCUGGUUGAAAGUGCUCAUAAAUUGCUCUUUCUUUUAAAUGACUUUGAUAAAAGAUAGGCUUUCAGUUUGAUCACUGUGACACUCUGUACCUCGGGGGAACACCUUGCACCCUCAUGUUCAUCCUUAUAAUAUGAUUGUGUGGUAUCCAAUGCAACGUUUGUCAUGUUGGGUGUCUUUGGAAGGCUCA